CCUCCGGUAGCUCAGUUGGUAGUUAGCGCCUGCCUGAAAAGCAGGAGGUCGUCGGUUCGAUUCCGACCUGGGGGG
rnacentral:tRNA from 1 species